GCCCGCUCAGAAACUUAAAUGAAGUGACGGGGCCCGCACAAGCGGUGGAGUAUGUGGUUUAAUUCGAUGCAACGCGAAGAACCUUACCUGGUCUUGACAUCCCGGAGACCCUUAGGAAACUAGGGGGUGCUUCCAUCUGGAAGAAUCUGGAGACAGGUGCUGCAUGGCUGUCGUCAGCUCGUGUCGUGAGAUGUUGGGUUAAGUCCCGCAACGAGCGCAACCCUUGCCUUUAGUUGCCAGCAGUUCGGCUGGGCACUCUAAAGGGACUGCCGGUGUUAAACCGGAGGAAGGUGGGGAUGACGUCAAGUCCUCAUGGCCUUUAUGACCAGGGCUACACACGUACUACAAUGGCCGAUACAAAGGGCAGCGACACUGCGAGGUGAAGCCAAUCCCGUAAAAUCGGUCUCAGUCCGGAUUGGAGUCUGCAACUCGACUCCAUGAAGUUGGAAUCGCUAGUAAUCGUGGAUCAGCAUGCCACGGUGAAUACGUUCCCGGGCCUU
rnacentral:rRNA from 1 species